rnacentral:rRNA from 1 species
AGCGUAGACGGAAUGGCAAGUCUGAUGUGAAAGGCCGGGGCUCAACCCCGGGACUGCAUUGGAAACUGUCAAUCUAGAGUACCGGAGGGGUAAGUGGAAUUCCUAGUGUAGCGGUGAAAUGCGUAGAUAUUAGGAGGAACACCAGUGGCGAAGGCGGCUGUCUGGUCUGUAACUGACGCUGAGGCUCGAAAGCAUGGGUAGCAAACA